rnacentral:lncRNA from 1 species
AUGCAAGUACCUCAAAUCAACAACUUGAGAAUCCCAAUCGGUCUGAACAGCUUCAUGCAACCAAUAAUCAGCCUCCUAUUAAUCAAGAGAAUCCACAGAAUCAAGAAGAUCAAAUUGCAGAACAGUUACAGAAUCGUCAACCGAAUCAUAACCAAAGACAGGGUCAAGCUAAUCCACAGCCUGUUCAAGGUGAAGCCGAAGAGAGAAGAGCUGAAGCUGUACAUGUCUGACAAUCCCAAAUCAUCAUGCCGUUCCAUUGCAGGACAAAUUUUUACUGAUGAACUUGCUGAACGCUUUUCCUGGAAAGGUCGCUUAUCAAGAAACCAAGCCAUUAAAAAAGAAAGAUUUAUGGACACGAGAGUAUACAACCUCAUUUUUCAAGCUGUCAACUUGUAUUUCCCUACCAAGAAAAUGACUGCUGAAGAAUAUAAGAAGAACCUUCAGAAUUUCUUUAUUCAAGCCAAAUUUCGUAGAGAAAGAAAGUAAGUCAUAUUAGCCACACUCGCUUCUGUAUUAGCUUUCUUAUUAAAAUCAAUUUGUUUAGGUAUCAUUGCUAUAGAUGUGAAGAAUGCAAAUUAUCAUUUUGAUCUGAGGUUUGCACCAAAUAUUUCUUUUUAACUAUCCUUCGAAUGAGCUGCCACAAAGAGGGAGUUGCCAUUUGAAGAAAAAUGUUGCCCUUCCCCCCCCCCCACCUCCUUUAGGAGCGGCCACUCUUCAGAAUUUUUGGGGGACCAAAAAGUUGCCACUUUCGACCCAGGAACAUCUCCAAAGUUUCAAGCUUCUAGGACACAGAAAAAAAGUUACAGGGGUGGUCAGUGACUUUUGGAUAAACCUGUAAUCUACUCCACUUAAAAGUAAACAUUUUAUUUAAGGAAAUAUGGCAACUCUCAAAUGUUAGUAAGGCGGUUUUCCUCAGUUUGGCAGAAUAUCAGUGAAAUCACAAAUUAAUCAUCACUGAGUUUUGGACUGUUGAAAGCUCAGAGAUGAUAUGCAAAAAUACAUUUUACAUUAAGAUGAUCAAUGCAUUGUGCAUGAAAACCAAAAUUUUGACCUAUUCAUACAUUUGAUUUUAACUAUUAUCCUUGUUUGUUCCUUCUUUUUUUUCAUAUUAGACAAGAGAGAGCAGCAGCUAGACUAGCCAGACGUCAAGCAAGUGCAAGUUUGGAAGCAGGAGAGUCGUCUGAAUCGGAACCCGAAAGCGACUAAGUACCUAGAUCGAAACUUUGCAGCCCUUUUUUUCUUUUUUUUUCAUUUUCCUUUUGCAUUCCAGUGUCUUAGCUUUGAUUCAAGUGUCUAAGGGAUGUAAGUCAACGUCAAUGGCUAGAAAGCAAUAAUGAAAGCCUUAAAUGCGGUUUUUUUUUUUUUUUUUUUUUUUUUUUUUUUUUAAGGGCCCUCCUUUGGAAAGGUCUUCAAUUUAAUUCCUAACUCUUAACUUAAAGUUACUAAAAAUACCUAAUUCUAGGUACCUUUAAAGUGUGAUAUGUACUUUAGUGAAAUUUAUUAAUACGUUAAACGUAUGUACGUACGUAAAUGUUACGUAUUCUAGUAAAAUUUGCAAUACUUGAGUCAGGAUUUUGGUUACCUAAUACUUACCUAAAAUUUCUUUGUAAUACUUGAGUCAAGUUUUUCUGUUACCAAAUGGUUGUUUGUUGACUCGUAUGUUAAGUGUAAUGUGCCUAAUUCAUUCUCUGAGCCAAGUACAAUUUUUUGCCCGUGUCUAUUUUUCAAGUAGUAUUGAAUAUAUAUUUAAUGGCCUCGUAAUCCCAACACCUCCAUUAAUUCAAAACAAAUUGAUGUAUAUGUAUUAAACUACAUAUCAACUUCCGGCCAAUGUAUCACAAGUGCCAUGCAACGUUUCAAAAUUUCCGCUGCCAUUUUAUUUUUUAACAGAGAAAUUGUUGAUUGAAUCUGUUAGAAAAUUUCACUGAAUUUUCUUUGUGCUUCGGAUAAAAUUAAGUGAAAUUUUGGAACGGAUUCAACCAACAAUUUCUCUGUUGAAAAUAAAAUGGCAGCGGAAAUUUUGAAACCUCGAAUGGCGCGUGUGAUACUUUGGCGCGAAGGUGACAACAUGAUGUUUUCAAAUUUCAAAAUUCUCUUUGUAAGUUUGUAUUAUCAUCUCUUGAAAACACAAUGUAGUUUAAUACAAUUUAAUACAAUAAUUAUUAUUAUUAUCAUUAUUACUUUUUUACUUUUCACUCAAUUUAUACUCCAAUUUAUUUGUAUCCAUUGCUUAGCCAGCCAAAUUUGGCAUCAUAGUGUAUUAAUUCUUAAUUUGUUAUUUGAAUAUUUCUGCACUGACUUUCUUUUCAACAGUUGCCUCACUAUCUGAGGUUAUUAGUUACAGACAUUUUUAUGCCAUAAGGGCAUGCAGCCAUCGCUAUAUUCAAUUCAUUGUAUUGUUGAAUCAUUGUAUCAACCGUAUGUGAUCUAUUGCUCAAUGUCCAUUGCUUAGCCAGCCAAAUUUGGCAUCAUAGUGUAUUAAUUCUAAAUUUGUUUUUUGAAUAUUUCUGCACUGGCCCUCUUUUCAACAGUACUCCAGUUGCCUCACUUUCUGAGUUUAUUAGUUUCAGACAUUUUUAUGCCGAAAAGGCAUGCAGCCAUCUAUAUAUUAAUUCAUCGUAUUUUUGAAUCAUUGUAUUAAUCGUAUUGUGACGAAUGGAUGGUGAUAGUGACAACUAUCACCCCAUUCGCAACAAACUGAAACUGGUAAGUUCGUCGGAGAGUGAAAGCUCGAGCUUAAAGCUCCAGCGUGCACUCUCCGAUGAACUUACUGGUAGGAAUCAGCUGUGAAGCGCCUUGAAGAGGGAAAGCGUCCGGCGGUCGGGAUGUCUCUCGUGUGGUCCAGCUACAGAUCACGCGCGACAUGGUGACAUCAUGUCGCGGAUAUGUGAUCGCUAACAUGCGAGGGACAGACCGAUCACCCAUAAGGACCAGUGAUCUGAGAGAGACAGUGUCCUUUGGCCAUAUGAUGCCGAACCCGGCGGCUCAUCUGCGGGUUGCCGGAGGGGGCACCGAAAUCGCUGUUGUUUCACUAACAUCAUCGGACCCGGCGAUUUCGUGUCUCCAAGUCCGGCAGCCUGCAUGUGAUGUUCCCGGGAUAUGUGAUUUGGUGUCGUAUGACCGGAGCCAAAAACGCUGGCUUCGGCUGUUUUCUUGGAGUUUUCUGGUGGGAACCCACGCCAUCUCCCUUCCAUCCGAGGUUUGAUGAAAGCUCCGGAAAAUGGGUGAAGUGAGUCUCUCUCAGGUCACAGCUAAGGACGGAGUAGCUAAACGCACCACCACCGAUACUGUACCGAAGUUAGCCUCCCGGCCCCCAGAGUCAUUCUAGCCAUUGUGCAGAUUUCGCUGCCGCGUCGGUAUACUAGUUUUUCCCCGCUCGAGCAAGUCGCCGUUCGGGAAUCAGGAGCAAUUCGCCCGCCAACCCGUAACCUUGUUUCUACACACUCGUUGUUGUUGUGAACAAAUAAACCUUGGUCUUCCUACAUCUGGUCUCUUCAUUCCUUCACAAGGUAAUUACCAUGUCUGUACGCUCUACCAUCUGAGCUUGAUAGGGACUCAGCAAACCUUCUCUAUCUGGUGGCGCCCCCAAAGCCUUCAUCCUUUCAGCACCGUGCGGGGGCUGAUAGUGUGAUCAUCAUUUACUAUUAGGGCAGUGAGAGUAGUCCACCUCGCCUUGCUCUGCAACCCCCCAUAGCAGAUCUAGCCCCGCUCCAGUAUGUGAUCUAUUGCUCUCAUUUUUUAUUAAUGUUUUCUCUUGUCCAAUGUAACUUUGAAUGUGUUCGCUUUAUAGUGAGUCAUAAUUUUAAUUUUUUUUUAAAGUUAGGACUAUUUUUCUCGUUCUUUUAUUUUUUGGAUUUAUUAUUUCAUAAAUAUUUUUCUUGUUUAUUUCUGUUUUUAGUAAUAGGAUCUAUUUCAAUAAAUGGAUUUAUUUUUUCAAUAUUUUUUCUCUCUUUCAAAUAUAAUAGCUAUCACUCUGCUGUGAAUACUUUAUGACUAUUGAGCAUCAGUGCUGCCUAUAAGGAAAGGAAUAACAUCCAGUGUUCACCUCACUUACUUAGCAUCUUAAAGUAAUCCCAUACCACAAAUACAAUGGGACCCUGCAUCUCUUAUUUUCACAAUUUUUGAAUCAAAGCACACUAAAUAGGAGCCGUCAGUCACGCAUUUUCAUUGCUGUAAAACAUCUUUUUAUUUGGUAAUUUUGAUUUUUCAUUUUUUAAACUUCGUCUAGAAAUGUGAUUCUCUAGUCACUUAAAUGAGC